GACGAACGCUUGCGACGUGCCUAAGAAAUGCAAGUCGAACGGGGUAGCAAUACCUAGUGGCGAACGGUCGCGUAACACGUGGGCAACCUGCCCUGAAGCGGGGGACAACAAGUCGAAAGAUUUGCUAAUACCGCAUGUGUCUCGCUGCGGCAUCGCAGAGGAGACAAAGCCGCAAGGCACUUCAGGAUGGGCCCGCGGCCUAUCAGCUUGUUGGUGAGGUAACGGCCCACCAAGGCUUCGACGGGUAGCUGGUCUGAGAGGACGAUCAGCCGGAUUGGGACUGAGAUACGGCCCAGACUCCUACGGGGGGCAGCAAUUAGGAAUCUUGCACAAUGGGCGAAAGCCUGAUGCAGCGACGUCGCGUGAA
rnacentral:rRNA from 1 species